ACCGGCAGCGCGCGCCCCUCUCGGCUGCCGCCAUCUUGGUGCCGUUACCGGCCGCCGCUUCCAUCCGCCGCCAUCCGCCUCCAUCCGCCGCCCCCCGCCCGCCGGGACUGAGCGGGGCUCCGCCGAACCGCCAUGAGAGCCAAGUGGCGCAAGAAGCGAAUGCGCAGGCUGAAGCGCAAGAGGAGGAAGAUGAGGCAGAGGUCCAAGUAACCGCCCGCGGCGGGGACACGGCCCGGUGACGCUCCGGUGAUGCUCCGGUGCCGUCCCGGUGGUGUCCGGUGCCGUCCCGGUGCCGCGGGGGGGUCCCGCCGUGCCGGACCGGUUCUUUGCUUUGCGGCGGUCGCCGUGCCGUGAAUAAAAGUUGGUUGUUGCUUACA